rnacentral:SRP_RNA from 1 species
UCAUACCAGUCGGGGGAGCAGCGGGUCCCUGUACUCGAAAUCCGCUAUAGCGAGGAUGGUAUCCCGAAACGAGGGUGAGAUUUGUAUGGUCUGUGCCGCAGUUGGACGUGUUGACGAAUGGGUCCUGCGCGAUCGGCGGCUGUGAACCAUGUCAGGUGGGGAACCAAGCAGCAUUAAGCAGUUUAGCCGAUGCGCCGCAGGGCAGCCUGUUCUGAGCGUGCACUGCGGUGUCGCAUAUGGAUUCUCAUUCGACUUUCGGGUGUAUGG